UACGAAGGGGGCUAGCGUUGCUCGGAAUCACUGGGCGUAAAGCGCACGUAGGCGGCUUCUUAAGUCAGGGGUGAAAUCCUGGAGCUCAACUCCAGAACUGCCUUUGAUACCGAGAGGCUCGAGUCCGGGAGAGGUGAGUGGAACUCCGAGUGUAGAGGUGAAAUUCGUAGAUAUUCGGAAGAACACCAGUGGCGAAGGCGGCUCACUGGCCCGGUACUGACGCUGAGGUGCGAAAGCGUGGGGAGCAAAC
rnacentral:rRNA from 1 species